UGAGGAAUAUUGGUCAAUGGGCGAGAGCCUGAACCAGCCAAGUAGCGUGCAGGAUGACGGCCCUAUGGGUUGUAAACUGCUUUUAUAUGGGAAUAAAGUGAGGGACGUGUCCCUUAUUGCAUGUACCAUAUGAAUAAGGACCGGCUAAUUCCGUGCCAGCAGCCGCGGUAAUACGGAAGGUCCUGGCGUUAUCCGGAUUUAUUGGGUUUAUAGGGAGCGUAGGCUGUUUGUUAAGCGUGUUGUGAAAUGUAAGAGCUCAACUUUUAGAUUGCAGCGCGAACUGGCAGACUUGAGUGCGCACAACGUAGGCGGAAUUCAUGGUGUAGCGGUGAAAUGCUUAGAUAUCAUGACGAACUCCGAUUGCGAAGGCAGCUUACGGGAGCGCAACUGACGCUAAAGCUCGAAGGUGCGGGUAUCGAACAGG
rnacentral:rRNA from 1 species